GCCCAGCGCAGCGCGCGGUGCAGCGCGACCCGCCGGGACCCGCUGGCGACCUGCGGCGGCGCCGAUCCGCGGCGGGGGGCGCCGGGAGCUUGGCGGGAGAGGCAAGGCCCAGCCUGGAAAUUACUUCCUUGACAAACGAGUCAGCUGCAGACUUGUCGGGGUGUAGGAGUCGCGAGCGGAGAAAGGUUCUCCUAGCAGAAGGUUGGGGAUGGGGAAUCCUGGAGCUUCGUCCUUAUCAGAAAUGGGCAAUUAGCGACGUCUGUAAACAAACCCCGAAAAGAGUUUAGAAGAGGACAGUUUUCAAACUCCGAGAACUUAGGAAGUUUCUGGGACGUGAAAUGAAGAAAACUUUAAUAACCAUAGAGAUGGUACCAGAAGCCAAGUGAGAAAAGUACCAGAUUGAAACUGAAACUAUUGGGAAAUUGUUGCAAAUUGAAAACUCGGAGCACGCGAGCAAACACUUUAGAUUUGGGAGGGGGAGGGAAUGUGAAUGAGGGAGGGGGCUAACUAAUUCACGGCUGGGUUGAAAAAGUAGAGCGUUUAUUCCCCAUGGGUCUCCUGACCAUUGUAGAUGUUUAGUAACACAAAAAAAGAGUAGGUCAUCGUGUAGAAAACUUUCAAUGCUUUGGUGGAGGAAAGAAUGAGGAAUCUGGGAAUAGGAAGUUAUUUGCACGAUGUUUGGCUGGCACUUGAAUACUUUUGUUUUUGUAAAAAGGAGGAGUCAUUUGGAAUGGUCAUAGGUAUUGAGGACCCCUUCAUGCUAAGGGAUUCCGCAGGCAUUUCCUAUUCUGUCCUCAGAACUACCCUACCAAGCUGGCAUUCUUAGCAUCGUGUGGCCACUUUAGAUCGUGUGGUUCAAAAGCUGAAAUUUGCAGAGAUCGAGUUGCCUCAGCUCACACAGGCAGAGAUCAGUGGCAGAAUCUGAACCCUGGCAGGCCCAUACCGAGCAAGCCCUCUUACCCACUGCCGCCUUACCAGGAAUCAGUGUUUUAGAAAAAGAGUGUUCUUUUAUUAUCUGCCCUGAAUAAUGCAGAGGCUGUAAAUUGGUUGCUUAGAGCUCCAUGACUUUCUAGAAGUGCUUGGUUUGGUUCUCCGUAUUGGUCUACCAGAUGUCUUGUGAAAAUUCGAAUUGGUUUUCCAACAUUUAAAAAUGGAGAGAUUACAUUAAAAGUCCAGAUUUCUGGCUUCCUUUAGGAAAUCAUUAGUUCCUGACAACGCAGGAUCCGUUUUCCUAAAGAGCAGAGCGGGCUGGAGGCUGCCAUUCCCCGUAGAGAGACAUUGGGCGGGGUCACUCAGGUUGGCCACGCUCCCUGCUGUUUGUUUUUCUCAUUUACUUGAUCUGGCCCCAGUAGGCAUUUGAACUUGUUUGUUUACCUUAAGUCACUCAAUCAACACAAACCUGCAGGUUUUUAUUUGUGGCUUGGUCCUGCAGAAAUGUAGACAAUGCUAUAAGCAUGGAACAAAACUACUCUUGAAUUUAAACAAUUUGGUUUUGAGUGUGAUGAACACCCAGGGAUAAGAAUACACAAAAUUCAGGAGUUAACCACCACAUGUCACAGGAAGCCCAAGAGAGAUGCAGCUUAUCUUGAACCUGGUAGCCCCCCAAAAUUCUCAAGGCUCUUUUUGACUGACACCGUUGGAUCCCUGAUUAGAUAAAUUAGUAAACUUCUCAUCAACUCCUGCACCCUGAGAUGCAGUAUAGACAUUCAACAAAAGAAAAACACAUUACAUCAUGUUUACUACAAAGGGUGUGUCAAUCUUGACCUCUAACAUUAUCAUUAUAAGAGGUUGUUGGCCACGUGACCCAUACUAGAUACGAAUUUUAGGCAAGUUGUGACUUAGGGAACUGCAAAUUCAACUUGCUGGAAGGAAAAGGGGAGGGUGGGCUUCAGAAAUGGGCCCAAAUCAGACAUUUAUGGGGGACUUGUGAAGAUUUUAGAUUUUAGAUGGUCCAUAAACUCUUCCUCUGGUCUAACAUUCUAUUAAGAGAAUUAAGAGCUGUGUGUGAAAAGGCUUUCUAUUCUAAACUGUUUACCUUUCUGGAAAAGUUAUGUAUCAUUUAAUGAGAACCUGCACUGUAAGAAAUAGAAUCAUGGGAUAUUUGGACCCAGGGGCUGACAAAAUAAUGAAUCCUCAAUUAUCUGUUUUUUAAAAAAGGACUGGUGAAGACAAUUUUUUAAACUAUUACCAGGUUUUAGUUUUCAUGGACAAGUUCAGAAAUAACAGUGUAAAUUUGGCCAGGCCUGUGUUGUCACUUGGAAUUUUUUUUUUUAAUUACUAAAAAAAAAAAAAAAAAAAGUAAACAUGAUUGCUAAUAGAAUAGUCAUCCAUCUAUUUCAUGCAGAAAAUAGGAUUUGACAGGAAAACAAGAGGAUAUGAGAGAUGAAUGAGGGUGGAAUUUUAAGGAAACCUAUGACAAAAUGUAUAGGCUAUAGGCCUGUGUCUGUUGAUUCUGUUAAAAAGAGACUGUUUUUUUUCCUGUAUGGCAUAUGUGUUAACACAAAAUCAGCCUGAUGCACUGAUCACUUAAAUCUCUGUUUUAAGACCAACACUGUGCUGGAUUCUGAGGAGACAGUGCUUCCUACCCGCAUGGAAACUACUUCAAAGAGACCAGCCCCACACAAAUUCAAUGUGCAGAAGAAUCACUUGAGGGUCUAAUUCAAAUGCGCAUCUGAUUGUGGACCUCUGGCUGGGUUUGAGAUUCUGCCUCUUAGACUCUGGUGAUGCUCAUGCCUUUGGGCCCUAAGUACCAGCCUGAGUAGUAAGUCUAGACUUUAAUACAGGUAAGUACACAGCCAGGUGCAAGAAGAUGUGCAUCAUGGUUGUACCAGGGAAAUUAUAGCAGACUGUGGGACCACUUGGAGGGCAACUGAGCAGGAAAGGCAGCUCCAAAGAGAUACAAGGUGUGAAUAGGAGUUGGCUGAGCAAUGAGGUCAAAAGGAAGAAAUACGUUCCAUGCAGAGACUGAAGAGCAGGCAGAGGGGGAGUGGGGAGAGAAGCCACCUGAGGAGUUCUGAGGAGUUUUCCCAUGAUUUCACAGACUUCAUGGGGCACACAUGGGGCAGACAUCACAGGGGGCAUCACUGAAGGUUUUAAGCACAUGAGUGAUGUGACCAAAUUUUAGAAGGUUCACUCUGGCAGCAAUGUGCCUAGCAGAAUCAAGUCAAGACCCAAGACAGUGUGACUGGUCAAGAUAUAUGUUAUGGUAAUUUUCAUAUAAGAUGCUAGUGUCAGCAAAGACAGUCCCUGUUUCAACCCUGUCUUUAUUAAAAUUCCUGUAUAUCCUGGAAUUCCCAUUGUGACCCAGAGGAUUAAAAACCUGACA
rnacentral:lncRNA from 1 species